rnacentral:rRNA from 1 species
AGAGCGAACGCUGGCGGCAGGCCUAACACAUGCAAGUCGAGCGGCCGUAGCAAUACGGCAGCGGCAGACGGGAUAGUAACACGUGGGAACGCGCCCUUCGGUUCGGAAUAACUCAGGGAAACUUGAGCUAAUACCGGAUACGCCCUUACGGGGAAAGAUUUAUUGCCGAAGGAACGGCCCGCGUCCGAUUAGCUAGUUGGUGAGGUAAUGGCUCACCAAGGCUCCGAUCGGUAGCU